GGAGGAGUACCCAAGUGGCUGAAGGGUCUGGCUUCGAACACCAGUAGGCCGGUAGUCCCGGCGCGGGGGUUCAAAUCCCCCCUCCUCCG
rfam:Lachnospiraceae bacterium A2 genomic scaffold acPFL-supercont1.2, whole genome shotgun sequence.